rnacentral:lncRNA from 1 species
CCCAGAUCCAACCCGCAAGCACUGUGCAAAUUUCAGCCUCGUGUUCAAUGAGGGGGAAGAGGGCUAGAGAGAGGGAGGAGAGUGAGCUUUCUGGAGGAAGCAGGCUGUCCAGGGAGUGAUUCAGGGAGGGAGAUGCCAAACAGAUAGACAGAAAACGUUGUUCGGAAAAGUUGUUUUUUCUUAUUUUUUUCGGGAGAACCCGCUUACACAGCUCUGUUUGUAAUUUUUUUCUUCAUGCUAAAAUCACACGGCCUAUUUAGACCCCCCUCCCGUGGCCACCCGGUCCCCCUUCGUGCCCCCGCCCCCCACCUUCUACCCCUUUCUCACGGGCGUGGGUGCCACCCAAGACACCCUGCCUCCGCCCGCCGCGCGCCGCCCGUCCUCCGGGGGCCCGUGUCAGGCCGAGCGCGACGACAGCGACUGCGAGGAGCCCGUGGAAGCCUCGGGCUUCGCCUCCGGGGAGGUCUUUGACUCCAGCCUCCCCCCCACGGACGACGAGGACUUUUACACCACCUUCCCCUUGGUCACGGACCGCACCACCCUCCUGUCACCCCGCAAGCCCGCGCCCCGACCUAACCUCAGGACAGAUGGGGCCACGGGCGCCCCCGGGGUGCUACUUGCGCCCUCCGCCCCAGCCCCCAACCUGCCCGCGGGCAAAAUGAACCACCGAGACCCACUGCAGCCGCUGCUGGAGAACCCACCCCUGGGGCCUGGGGUCCCCACGGCCUUCGAGCCGCGGCGGCCG